GCCAACAAUAAUUCGUUACUCUACUGGUUGUACUAGUUUUCCUUUACACCCCAUAAAUUGGUAUUAAGUAUCUCCCCAAAAUUCAGAUGUGUGCCUCUGUGUGAAUGACAGAGUGAUAGCCGUUAGGUGUUGCUAAGGCUAGUUAGCUUUAAUUUACCUGGCGGUUUCCUGUUCUCUGUGGCCGUUAUUUCCCACGGCUCUGCCUGAGAGAUGGAGAGGCAUUCACGGAGCAACAUUUCAAUCCACCACAUGUCCAGCCACAAGCCUCAUUACUUCUUUAUAGCUGCAGCUGUCCCCAAGUAAAAUCCAGUUUUGGUUAUUUAGCCAGUGUAGGGCUUCAGCCGACCUCUGCGUCCGAGGAGGGCUCACCUUUGGUGGGGUGUAUUUCCUGGAGCUCCACUGUCGGUCGUAGCAGCCGAGAUGUUUCAGACUGGAGGUUUGGGGACGUGUUUUUCGCAGUGGAAAGUCCGACUACCUGAAGCAACAGUGUUCCUGUCAUCUUUCCUCCCGACUAAACCAAAGUAAUGGGAAUAUUUCCAGCCGUUAAGCCUGCGAUGACCUGCAGCACCAGCCGGAGCCUGCGGUCCAAGGCCUGGAGGUGACGCUGGAUGAGGAUCGGGGACAGUCGGUCACGGAGCAGGGACUCCUCCAUCAGGGCGCUCAGCUGGUACUCCUCUUUGGCCAGCAGCUGGAGACGCAGUGUGAGUGAGGCAGCCAAGAAGCAGCAUCACUGUGCCAAGCUGCAGAGGCUGGCGGAGUCUCUACCUGGAGAGAUGAAGAAGGUCCUCCACAGCUUCUUAUCACGCGUCACAUCCCUGAUCUCCCU